GACGAACGCUGGCGGCGUGCUUAACACAUGCAAGUCGAACGAAGAGCGAUGGAAGCUUGCUUCUAUCAAUCUUAGUGGCGAACGGGUGAGUAACGCGUAAUCAACCUGCCCUUCAGAGGGGGACAACAGUUGGAAACGACUGCUAAUACCGCAUACGAUCUAAUCUCGGCAUCGAGGAUAGAUGAAAGGUGGCCUCUACAUGUAAGCUAUCACUGAAGGAGGGGAUUGCGUCUGAUUAGCUAGUUGGAGGGGUAACGGACCACCAAGGCGAUGAUCAGUAGCCGGUCUGAGAGGAUGGACGGCCACAUUGGGACUGAGACACGGCCCAGACUCCUACGGGAGGCAGCAGUGGGGAAUCUUCCGCAAUGGACGAAAGUCUGACGGAGCAACGCCGCGUGAGUGAUGACGGCCUUCGGGUUGUAAAGCUCUGUUAAUCGGGACGAAAGGCCUUCUUGCGAAUAGUGAGAAGGAUUGACGGUACCGGAAUAGAAAGCCACGGCUAACUACGUG
rnacentral:rRNA from 1 species